rnacentral:rRNA from 1 species
CGUGAGCGGCGGACGGGUGAGUAACGCGUGGGUAACCUGCCUCAUACAGGGGGAUAACAGUUGGAAACGGCUGCUAAUACCGCAUAAGCGCACAGUACCGCAUGGUACGGUGUGAAAAACUCCGGUGGCAUGAGAUGGACCCGCGUCUGAUUAGGUAGUUGGUGGGGUAACGGCCUACCAAGCCGACGGUCAGUAGCCGACCUGAGAGGGUGACCGGCCACAUUGGGACUGAGACACGGCCCAA